rnacentral:rRNA from 1 species
AUACGUAGGUGGCAAGCGUUGUCCGGAAUUAUUGGGCGUAAAGCGCAUGUAGGCGGUUUGGUAAGUCGGUCGUGAAAAUGCGGUGCUUAACGCCGUAUGGCGAUUGAAACUGCUGAACUUGAGUGCAGGAGAGGAAAGGGGAACUCCCAGUGUAGCGGUGAAAUGCGUAGUUAUUGGGAAGAACACCGGUGGCGAUGGCGCCUUUGUGGGCUGGUGCUGACGCUCAGAGGCAAAAGCCAGGUUAGCGGACGGGAUGUGAUACCCCGGGAGUCCUGGCCGUAAACGAUGGGUUCAAGGUGUGGUAGGUAUCGACCCCUGCCGUGCCGGAGGUAACGCAAUAAGUACCCAGCCUGGGGAGUACGGCCGCAAGGCUUAUGCUCAAAGGAAUUGACGGGG